AUUGAACGCUGGCGGCAUGCCUUACACAUGCAAGUCGAACGGCAGCGGGGACUUCGGUCCGCCGGCGAGUGGCGAACGGGUGAGUAACGUAUCGGAACGUACCUUUCAGUGGGGGAUAACGUAGCGAAAGUUACGCUAAUACCGCAUAUUCUGUGAGCAGGAAAGCAGGGGAUCGCAAGACCUUGCGCUGAUUGAGCGGCCGAUAUCGGUUUAGGUAGUUGGUGAGGUAAAGGCUCACCAAGGCGACGAUCUGUAGCGGGUCUGAGAGGAUGAUACGCCACACUGGAACUAAGACACGGUCCAGACUCCUACGGGAGGCAGCAGUGGGGAAUUUUGGACAAUGGGGGCAACCCUGAUCCAGCCAUGCCGCGUGAGUGAAGAAGGCCUUCGGGUUGUAAAGCUCUUUCGGCCGGGAAGAAAUCGUAUGGGUUAAUACCCUGUGCGGAUGACGGUACCGGCAUAAGAAGCACCGGCUAACUACGUGCCAGCCGCCGCAGUAAAAC
rnacentral:rRNA from 1 species